GUGAGAUAUGACCGGGAUGAGGAGCCCCCGGUACUCACACCCCAGCACGGAGCGGCUUCUUCCCAGCCUUGUCCCAGAGUGAACCUUGAGAACAGGACGCGGGAGACAAGAAACAAGGACAUGGCUGAAUUUCUUGUUCCAGUAUUUGCGGUUGCUGGCUUCCUGGUUCAGAAAGGUGUAAAAGUGAUAUUCGACACAAUCGGUAAG